UUGAUUGUAUUGAAUGAGCCCGGAUAUGGUUAGAUGGUGUUUGGUUGACUGUAGCAAAAGAUUACAUGGAGAAGAUGCUGUUUGGUUGGAUUAGACACAUCCUGAGUAUAAAUACCUUCUCUUAUGUAUGGUGAGGUUACUCCAAGAACUUCUAUAUUGAAAUUUAUCUUAACAUGUGCACUACACGCAGCAUUAGAAGAUGCUAUGAUGGAAAUAGAUGGCAUUGGAGAAGAAACAUUUUCAUAUUCAUUGUUCAACGUACCACACAAUCACCAUUCAACCAUGCUAUGGAGCAGACCAGAACCACGGGCUCAUUGGUUUGAUUGAGAAAAUGGAGGCAGCCUAGAUUGUGGCACAUGCAGAUCAACACCAAGGCGCUGAACACAUACUGCUGGGAUGGGAUAGCUGCAUCAUCACAGGUCAGACCUCAGUGACCAUGGAUCCAAUAACCGUCCGG
rnacentral:lncRNA from 1 species